rnacentral:rRNA from 1 species
GGAGUUGGCCAUACCCCAUAGAACAAGCUGCUCUCAUCUGAUCUUGGAAGCUAAGCAGGGCCAGGCCUGGUUACGACGUGCAUGGGAGGAGCCCGGGAAGAUGGCUGCA